AGUAGGAAUACUCGAUUGAAUGUGUUUCUGUAACCAAAUUGAAUGAAAUACUGUCGAUUGGUUUUCUCACUUCCAUUUGAGGUGAUGACAAAACAAAUGUACGUUACAUUUAAAAUGGAAUUUGUUGAAUUUAAAGCAAAUAGAAGUACGUCGGGGCGGGCUACGAAUGGCCAAAAGAGGCGGUUACUGCACUUAAUGCAGCAGCACCGCAGCGUUGGAAGGGGCCAAUUUAUGAAACCAAACACGAGGAAGGAGCACGAAGAGGUUUGGGCUGCCGCUGCUGCUGAAUUGAAUGCAUUUGGAGGGUCCCACAAGUCCCCUAAUCAGUGGAAAAAGACUGGAAAUCGGCAGUCAAGAAGCUGCACAAUGCCCACAGAGCGUUCGCCAGACGAACUGGAAACCUGCCGUUGCAGGACGGUCCAAAACCGUUGGAUGCCAUGGACCGGGAAAUUCUGGAGUUUUUUUCCAGCGACAUGGUGGACGGUGAUGGGCUCACUCCCGAAAUUGGUUUGCUGACAACUGCUGAAAUGGUCGAUGUUACCAUUGAGGAUGAGGGUGAUGCUACUGCCAACAUUGGGUAACGUUGGGACGCAAACGCGGACAGUUUGGACAUCUUCGAAGUGGAGGCACUUGAAGAGGUUGCAAUGGGUCAGGUGCUUGAGGUUGUGCCAAACAAACAGCAACCCAAACAGCACACAAACCAAAGCUGUGUGGAAGAGGCGAGCAGUCUAAUUGAAAAUCACCAUGCGCAGCUGAAAGAGAUUUUGGAGAGACAACACAAGGAGCACAUGGGUGUUUUAAAUGGAAUUCACGAUACACUGAGAGCUCUGUUGGAAAACACGACGGGAGCGACUGUUGCAUAAGGAGUAGGCACAGCAAAAUAUUCAUAUUUUCUAAAUAUUAUAUUCAUUGGUUGGGGCCAAGGCUUUGCGUAUGUACACCAAUAGCAGUAGCUGCUUCAAACGGGGUUACAUAGUCGCGCUCCAAUUGUUGUUGCAUUGUAAUCUAUUCCCGGAAGGACAGUAAUGUUCACUACAAUCGACUGUCAUUAUAAUCUUACAUAAAAAAUGAAACCGUUUUCGUUGUCACGGCAUCACGCGUGAAUGGCUGAACCGAUUUGGCUGAUUUUUUUUUUGUUGUAUUUGUUAUUAUUAGGAGAAGGUUCUUAUGUAAGAAAAAAUUACGAAAGUUGCCGGAAAACCCCUAAAAACAGCCCUUUUCUUUUCCCAUACAAACGUUUUAUUUUGUAUAUACAUACAUACAUACAUAUGUACAUAUGUAAGUAAAAAUUAUUGUUUGUUUGUUAGUAACGCUAACGCUCGAGAACGGCGGAACCAACCUUCAUGAAAUCAG